CAUAUAUUGGUGAUAAUAUAGGGGAAUGGGGGCAAGGGGCAGCGGGCCAGAGUUUGAUACCCUAGCAAUAAUCUGGGGAGGGUUUGUUGUUGGGAAGAGAUCAGUGUGUACUCUCUCCCUCUCCUUCUCUCUCUCUCUCUCUAUCUAUGUUUAUCCUCAGAGCAUUAAAUUUGAGGGAAAGAGGAGACGGGAAGAGAGAGAGAGAGGGAGAGAGGGUUAAUUAGGACAAAAAGUCAGCCCCAUCCCAUCCCCAGUGCAGUGCAGGUGCAGGAGUAUCUUGAUCUUGCCCCCACCACACCCCAUCACGGCCGUUGAUCUGCUUGAUGUGAUUUAGGGUUGGCCCCACAAUGAUCAGAAGAUGGCCCAGACCCAAAAGGGUGUAUGUUCCCAUUUUCACUUUAACGAACAUGGGGAAUGUUAACUUGGGGAAUAGGGAAACAAAGCGUGCCCUUUUAUUUUCA